rnacentral:lncRNA from 1 species
CAGGGUUCCUAGUUUUGCAGGUGGGACCCCCAACCUUUGCCAAAGCCCUACUUCUCUCAUUCCCGAAUAAUUGCCCUUUCCCCCUUCUACCUAGCUUCAGCGUUCGUCCAUGAGGUUUGGGCAGUUGCAUUCUGCUAGUUGCAGUGUCAUUUAAUUGGGGCGGAGAGGAAAUCUGCUAAAAUAAUUAUGGUUCCAUCUAAACCUUCCUUCCUUUUCCUCCUUCAGACUGGGGCUGGGGAGGUUCAAACAUAACUUUGUCUAAAGCUGCUUGACCCCUAUUUGAUUGAAAGUAACAUCUGGUUUCCAGGCUUCCAGCUGUUUCUCCUAUCCAGAGGUAGCCAAUCGUAGACAGAUGGGACAUUUCCUCGGCGUGCUGUGUCGACAUUACUGACAUGCACCUCACUUGAACAGCGAACAUCCAGGCUUCUCAACACCUUUGAGUCUGAAGCAAGUCCAGCUCAGGAAGGCGGGAGAUCCAGUCUAUUUGUCGGUUUUUCCUUGGAGGGAAGGCAAGCUGGCAGCUGCUCAGAAAUGAUCAGAGAGUGGCCUAUUUCUCAAGGACCCCAGGAGAGCUUGGUAAUUUAAAUCAUCAUCUCAGGAAAGAGCCUUGA